rnacentral:rRNA from 1 species
UACGUAGGGUCCGAGCGUUGUCCGGAAUUAUUGGGCGUAAAGGGCUCGUAGGCGGUCUGUCGCGUCGGGAGUGAAAACUCAGGGCUUAACCCUGAGCCUGCUUCCGAUACGGGCAGACUAGAGGUAUGCAGGGGAGAACGGAAUUCCUGGUGUAGCGGUGAAAUGCGCAGAUAUCAGGAGGAACACCGGUGGCGAAGGCGGCUAUCUGGACCGACAUUGACGCUGAGGCGCGAAAGCGUGGGGAGCAAACAGG